rnacentral:rRNA from 1 species
GACGAACGCUGGCGGCGUGCUUAACACAUGCAAGUCGAGCGGUAAGGCCUCUUUGGGGGUACACGAGCGGCGAACGGGUGAGUAACACGUGGGUGACCUGCCCUCAGCUCUGGGAUAAGCCUGGGAAACUGGGUCUAAUACCGGAUAGGACUUCUCAUCGCAUGGUGGGGGGUGGAAAGUUUUUUCGGCUGGGGAUGGGCCUGCGGUCUAUCAGCUUGUUGGUGGGGUGAUGGCCUACCAAGGCUACGACGGGUAGCCGGCCUGAGAGGGCGACCGGCCACACUGGGACUGAGACACGGCCCAGACUCCUACGGGAGGCAGCAGUGGGGAAUAUUGCGCAAUGGGCGGAAGCCUGACGCAGCGACGCCGCGUGGGGGAUGACGGCCUUCGGGUUGUAAACCUCUUCGUCAUCGACGAAGCCUUUGGUGUGAGCUGGGGGUGACGGUAGGUGGAGAAGAAGCACCGGCCAAC